rnacentral:lncRNA from 1 species
UGAGGUUUUGUUAAGUUCAGUCAGAGUCUGAAACAAGCCCUGCAGGGCUAUUUCUGAGGCUGCUACUGCUCGAAAGUAGUAAACUAUAGAUCCCAUGGGAUAGGAUUGCAAGGAGCUAGGGAGCAGGAACAAGCACAGUGCCUUAUGGUACUAAAUUACCCAUAUGCCUGGUCACACAGACAAAAUCUUCCAUAUUCCUUAUGCUACAGUUUAGCUCACCACCAAAUUUUCCCCAUAAGAGCUUGAAAACAAAAUCAGAAAAAAAAAAAAAAAAGUCAAGAUUUAUUGACUGAGACUAGCAAUCGUUAUUUUUGCUUUAGUGAGGAAAAACAUGUUUUAGUCAUUCUUUUAUGUUCUUUUUCACAGCAUGGAAUUCUGCCAAAUUAGGGGCCAUUAGGCCAAAUAGCUUCUCUGUUCCCACCAAUUUAUCGGCCACAUGUGAUAGGGAGGAAUUACAUGGGAUGAAGAGACUCAUCUACGUCAUGGACUUCUAAGCUACAUGACCUCUGACGUUUACAGCACGGAGCACUGGCCUGGAGCACAGUCUUGGGCUCUCUGGUAUUGCAGUGGUCACCAACAGGAAGCAUCUUGCUGUGAAGCUGUUCUCAGAUAUCUCCCUCCUUCAAAGCAACAACACUAUUUGUACCUGCAUUGCUCCCAGAUUGGUUCUCUUAGGAAUUCAGUGUUUUGAUAACUAGAAGUUUUCCUCUAAGUUGCAGUUAAUAUCCACAUGUUUUGCUGCUGCCAUUGCACUCUGGUCAGAGCAGUCUUUACCUUCCUGCCAUUUACCUUGUGAUGUUCAUGGACUGCCUCCCACAUCCUUCCUCUGCUAUGCCAAACUAGCCAUAUCUUUUUGCCACAUUCUUUAAAAGUGUGCUCUGAUCAUAUUUUUGAGUCUUUCAUUGUAGCUGUGACAACUAAAAAUGGCUUGACUUGUUUUCAUGUAUUCUGUUUCACGGUUUCUACUGUAAACUGAGAACAAUGAAACUGAAAAUUUUCUGAGUUUUAUUCAAUUUCAGCAACUAAAACAUUUUUUAAAACAAUCACUAAAUAUUAUAAGAGUGCAACAUCAGAGUAAAUCUACUAUGACUUUUAGGAACUGGCUGUUACUUUAUCUUUCUUUUCUCCCUUCUGUUAUAUUAAUAAAAUCUGAUAUUUUUAUGUUAUUUACA